UGGGGAAUAUUGCACAAUGGGCGCAAGCCUGAUGCAGCGACGCCGCGUGGGGGAUGACGGCCUUCGGGUUGUAAACCCCUUUCAGCACAGACGAAGCGCAAGUGACGGUAUGUGCAGAAGAAGGACCGGCCAACUACGUGCCAGCAGCCGCGGUAAUACGUAGGGUCCGAGCGUUGUCCGGAAUUACUGGGCGUAAAGAGCUCGUAGGUGGUUUGUCACGUUGUUCGUGAAAACCCACAGCUCAACUGUGGGCGUGCGAGCGAUACGGGCAGACUAGAGUACUGCAGGGGAGACUGGAAUUCCUGGUGUAGCGGUGGAAUGCGCAGAUAUCAGGAGGAACACCGGUGGCGAAGGCGGGUCUCUGGGCAGUAACUGACGCUGAGGAGCGAAAGCGUGGGGAGCGAACAG
rnacentral:rRNA from 1 species